UACGGGGGGGGGCAAGCGUUGUUCGGAAUUACUGGGCGUAAAGGGCUCGUAGGCGGCCAACUAAGUCGGAUGUGAAAUCCCCAAGCUUAACUUGGGAACUGCAUCCGAUACUGGAUGGCUUGAAUCCGGGAGAGGGAUGCAGAAUUCCAGGUGUAGCGGUGAAAAUGCGUAGAUAUCUGGAGGAAUACCGGUGGCGAAGGCGGCAUCCUGGACCGGCAUUGACGCUGAGGUGCGAAAGCGUGGGGAGCAAACAGG
rnacentral:rRNA from 1 species